GCCGGAGUCGUGACCUGCCCUGCACAGCAUGGGGAGGGCUGAGUUCCAGAGAGUGCGGAGGCUCUGGGGUCAGAAAGGAAGUCAGAAUGAUUGGAGCAGUGGCAAUAACAUCUAGCAUGUGUUGAAUGCCUACUGUGUGUCAGACACUGGGCUAAGCACAACCCUUACAGCCACUCCAGGUGACGGAACCAUGAUGAUCCCAGCAUCAACCAUGUGCCGUGUGCUCAUUGACUUCCUGUGACAGAAAGAUGCCUUUUACAGCUGCAGAACCAAGACCAGAGAGCCCAAGUGAGCGGCCUCAGGGAACACCGUGACCCUUCCUGUGAACCCUCCGUGAUGCAGCCCGGAACCUGAGUCACCGUGAGAUAGCACCUCCAUCCACCUUGGUCCUGAAGCCCCCGGCCUGAUGAGGAUGGUGAUGAUGGUGAUGAGGAUGAGGAUGAUGAUGGUGACAACAGCCACCAGUUCUAACAGCGCCCUGAGCGCUGACACGUACUAACCUCGAGAGCGUGACCCCGUGCAGGCCCUGUCCCCUCUCCUCUGAAGCCUCAGUUUCCUCCUCUGGAGAUGGGGAGGAUGAAUCCUUCCGGGACCAUCGUGAGGAUACAACGCAUCAUGUGGAACACGGUGAGUUAGAACGCAUUCACAGUUCACCUCCUGGUCGGCCUGAGGGGAGAGGAUUCCAGAAAGGCCAACGGUGAAGGUUCAUAGUCGUGCAAACCUCGGCUGGGCUCAGAUGAGUGAUCAGACCCGGCUGGCAGAGCCCGUGGUCCUUUCAACGCGGGAGAAGGCUGGACGAGGAUUGUGUGGACCUGGAGGGCGGCCGUGACUCAGCUUCUGUGGGGAACUCGCCCCAGUCCUGCCAGAAAGCCAUUGUCCUCAAGACAAGUCACAAAUCCAGAUUUUUGUAUCAAUUCUCCCAUUUUUUAAAUGUUUCUGACUAAGUAAGGAAAAACAUUGGCCUACCACCUCACACCUUCCAGGAUGGCUGUGAUCGAGAAAGGUGGACGGUAACGUGUGUGGCGAGGACGUGGAGGAGUUGGAACCCACACACUGCGGGUGGAUUGUAAAGUGACACAGCCGCUUGGGGAAACAGUCUGGCAGCUCCCCGAAAGGUUAAACACAGAGAGACCAUAUGACCCAGCGAUUCCACUCCUGGGUGGACACCCCAAGAGGACUGAACACCUGUGUCCACACAAGACCCACACGUGAAUGUUCACGGCAGCAUGGUUUUUUUUGUUUGAGGAAGACUGGCCCUGAGCUAACAUCUGUUGCCAAUCUUCCUCUUUUUUUCUUUUUGCUCC